rnacentral:rRNA from 1 species
ACGAACGCUGGCGGCGUGCUUAACCCAUGCAAGUCGAACCGAAAGGCCCUGCUUUUGUGGGGUGCUCGAGUGGCGAACGGGUGAGUAACACGUGAGUAACCUGCCCUUGACUUUGGGAUAACUUCAGGAAACUGGGGCUAAUACCGGAUAGGAGCUCCUGCUGCAUGGUGGGGGUUGGAAAGUUUCGGCGGUUGGGGAUGGACUCGCGGCUUAUCAGCUUGUUGGGGGGGUAGUGGCUUACCAAGGCUUUGACGGGGAGCCGGCCUGAGAGGGUGACCGGCCACAUUGGGACUGAGAUACGGCCCAGACUCCUACGGGGGGCAGCAGUGGGGAAUAUUGCACAAUGGGCGGAAGCCUGAUGCAGCAACGCCGCGUGCGGGAUGACGGCCUUCGGGUUGUAAACCGCUUUCGCCUGUGACGAAGCGUGAGUGACGGUAAUGGGUAAAGAAGCACCGGCUAACUACGUG